rnacentral:rRNA from 1 species
ACGGUCUUGCUGUCACUUAUAGAUGGAUCCGCGCUGCAUUAGCUAGUUGGUAAGGUAACGGCUUACCAAGGCAACGAUGCAUAGCCGACCUGAGAGGGUGAUCGGCCACACUGGAACUGAGACACGGUCCAGACUCCUACGGGAGGCAGCAGUAGGGAAUCUUCCGCAAUGGGCGAAAGCCUGACGGAGCAACGCCGCGUGAGUGAUGAAGGUCUUCGGAUCGUAAAACUCUGUUAUUAGGGAAGAACAUAUGUGUAAGUAACUGUGCACAUCUUGACGGUACCUAAUCAGAAAGCCACGGCUAACUACGUGCCAGCAGCCGCGGUAAUACGUAGGUGGCAAGCGUUAUCCGGAAUUAUUGGGCGUAAAGCGCGCGUAGGCGGUUUUUUAAGUCUGAUGUGAAAGCCCACGGCUCAACCGUGGAGGGUCAUUGGAAACUGGAAAACUUGAGUGCAGAAGAGGAAAGUGGAAUUCCAUGUGUAGCGGUGAAAUGCGCAGAGAUAUGGAGGAACACCAGUGGCGAAGGCGACUUUCUGGUCUGUAACUGACGCUGAUGUGCGAAAGCGUGGGGAUCAAACAGGAUU